ensembl:misc_RNA Metazoa_SRP Metazoan signal recognition particle RNA
GCUGGGUGUGGUGGCAUACACCUGUAAUCCCAGCUACUCGGGAGGCUGAGGUAGGAGAAUUGCUUGAACCCAGGAGACGGAGGUUGCAGUGAGCUGAGAUCUCGCCACUGCACUCCAGCCUGGGUGACAGAGCGAGACUCCAUCUCAA